rnacentral:lncRNA from 1 species
GUUCAAACAAGUCAAUAAAACUAAACUUCGGAGCCAAGCAGUCACGGUGGGAAAAUGACCACUUAAAGAUUGCCAAGAGAAAAGACAAGCACGUUGAACUUCAAAUGGUGAUGGAGAGACCAGGCAUGGGGCAAGGCCUAGGAGAGUGGUUACCCAUGGGGUUUUCAAGUUAACAGUCUUGGAUCAAAAGGCAGAGCGAAAAAGAACCUUCCGCUAUCUCUUACCGUGAAGCUCAUUACUGGACCUUUUACAAUCUGUGGAAUCCAAAUGAAGCAAGCACCACCAGGUCUCAGAAGGGAGUGCAGAUCUUCCUAAUAAGGCCCAGCCUGGCUGCUCUGAUUUCCUAUUCACAUAUGAUUUUUUCCAGAAGACUAUUUUGGCCUCGGUUGAAUAAUUUGUUUCAGAAACUUUACAUCCUAAAAUAUUCUCUGGAGGAGACAGAAACACCAUCUGUGCCCACUCCUGGAAAAACAGCCCUGAGCCAUGAAGUAGGAGUGUCAGAGUUGCAAAAUUUGAAUGCCUGCUUGUCC